ACAAAAAUUUUUAUUUUUAAUUAUUUAUUUACUUUUUGAUUUUGUAAACAUAAAGUGUUGUUGGUAAUGUAAGCAAAAUGAAAACGGCACAAAAUAUUGCCUUCGUAUGCAAUAGUAUAUAAACAAUCUUUUUUUCUUUUUUGUUUUAUACUUUUCGGUUAACUUUAAUUUUAUUUCCUGAUUAAAUCGAUGUGAUGCAUAUUUUAUUUGAAAUUAUCUGAUAUAAAAAA
rnacentral:lncRNA from 1 species